GAUGAACGCUGGCGGCGUGCUUAACACAUGCAAGUCGAACGGAGUAAUAUGAAGUUUUCGGACAGAUUAUUACUUAGUGGCGGACGGGUGAGUAACGCGUGGGUGACCUGCCCUGUACAGGGGGAUAACAGUCAGAAAUGACUGCUAAUACCGCAUAAGACCACAGCACCGCAUGGUGCAGGGGUAAAAACUCCGGUGGUACAGGAUGGACCCGCGUCUGAUUAGCUGGUUGGUGAGGUAACGGCUCACCAAGGCGACGAUCAGUAGCCGGCUUGAGAGAGUGAACGGCCACAUUGGGACUGAGACACGGCCCAAACUCCUACGGGAGGCAGCAGUGGGGAAUAUUGCACAAUGGGGGAAACCCUGAUGCAGCGACGCGGCGUGAGUGAAGAAGUAUCUCGGUAUGUAAAGCUCUAUCAGCAGGGAAGAAAAUGACGGUACCUGACUAAGAAGCCCCGGCUAACUACGUGCCAGCCGCCGCAGUAA
rnacentral:rRNA from 1 species